rnacentral:misc_RNA from 1 species
UACGUAGGGGGCAAGCGUUGUCCGGAAUUAUUGGGCGUAAAGCGCGCGCAGGCGGUUCUUUAAGUCUGAUGUGAAAUCCCACGGCUCAACCGUGGAGGUGCAUUGGAAACUGGGGAACUUGAGGACAGAAGAGGAGAGUGGAAUUCCACGUGUAGCGGUGAAAUGCGUAGAUAUGUGGAGGAACACCAGUGGCGAAGGCGACUCUCUGGUCUGUCUCUGACGCUGAGGUGCGAAAGCGUGGGUAGCAAACAGG